CAUUGAGCCAAGAUUGUGCCACUGCACUCCAGCCUGGAUAAUAGAGUGAAAAUGUGUGGCGGGGAGCGGGGGCGGGGAGGCAACCCACACCUUGGGAACACUGAGCUGCUCUUUAUGAUGAUAUCCAAUUACCCUGAAGCUGCAUGUUGGAAAGGUCAUGUGGAGAUAUCAUGUAGAGGGAGAGAGAGGCCCAAUGAACCCCAGCUAUUUUAGCUCUCAUUUUUGCAUCUUCCCAGUGAACUGACAGACAAAGGCUGGGAGCUGGAAACUUCUGAAGGCUCAUUCACUUGCAUGUCUGUCAUGAAGCUUCAGGGCAGCUCCAGCUGAUGCCAGGGACUUCUGGAGUCCAUUACAGAGCUACUCAACCCACGGCAGUAAUCCUCCCUCUGAGAAUACUACUGUAAUCCUCAAGUGCAGAGUAGAGACUACUGUGCGAAAGAACUCGGGAAAGCAGCAGGCAGUCUGGAAUGGCAAUGGGAAGAUCCAAAGGCAGCAAAGGCUUCUCUCCGCCAUGUGAAAGGCCUGAGUUUAGAUACUUCAGGGAAGUUUUAAUGCCAACCUUCUGUAAAAUCCCCAUUCUCUAAUGUAUGGCUUUAAUUAACAAUCAUGUAUCAAUAUUUGUUAAUCAUAACAAAUGUACCAUACUCCUGUGAGAUGUUAUCAACAGGAAAAAUUGAAGGAGAGGUGCAUGGAGCUCUGUACUAUCCUUGCAAUUUUUCUGUAAAUCUAAAACUGUUGUAAAAAAUAAAGUCAGGGGAGGAGCAAAAAGAAAAAACGUUUAUUUUUUAUUGAAAAGAAAAACCCUCAUUCUCCACAGCCACAUCCAUAUUUCAGAAUUGUUCUUAGAAACUUCCAGAAACAAUUCAUUUACUGUAUAUAACAUUAUGGCCUAGAUUAAACUGAUCAGUAAUUAUUAAUGCUUAACGUUAGUGCGGAAGCUCAAAAAUUAUAUACUAGAGUGUUUGUGUAACUCUAAAUCUUAAGAUACAUGUCAGUGAUACCCGAAGCUUCUUUUUUUUUUUAUUUUAUAGAGAAAACAUAAUUGACAAAAUGGUCACAUACUUUUUAAACUUUGUUUUCGACAUCUUUGGGAAUUGUAACCAUUGAACCCCAUGUUCCUGAUUCAAGCUCCUCUGUGCAUCUCUUAAGAGUUGUUGAAUUGAAGUCAUAAUGCCUGGGAUGGAAGAAAAGGCUUCCAAGGGGCUGAUCUCACAAAUCAGCGGAUAGGCUGACCAGUUACUCUGUUUGUUCUCAGGCAUGUGAAAGCGUUCUCUGGUCCUAAACAUCCUGUUCUAGUUGUGCCCCAUUUGUUGAGGGGUUGAGGGUGGCAUUGAUGCAGUCUCCAUGCUUUAACUAGGCUGCUAUUACCUAUUACCUGCCUGCCUCAGCUUCCAACUACCACCCAGGUUAAGAGGGCAUGUCUGAUGAAGAAACCACCUCCCUUAGUCAAGAUGAUUCAACUUCAUUCUACUCUCAUCCCCUUUCUCCAGGUGGAAAUCUGAGGGUCUGAGGAGGAGACAGAGAGAGAAAGGGGACGCAAAAAGGCUCAAUUCUCAGGCUUCUGUCCCAACAACAUCAGUAUUAUCUUCAUAA
rnacentral:lncRNA from 1 species